AGGAGAGCUUAUCCGAAGGGGAAAUUUCCAGCAAAGCUGGAUAGCCUAAGCGAAAUCCACUCUUGCCCCCCGAUCCUUAAUCUGCCCCCAAAAAUCUUCAUUUCAUUUCAUAACACUCUGAAAUCCCACCAGUUACAGACUUACUGGUAUCCCUUUUAAAAAAUGUAAAAUAUAUGAAAGUUAAAGAGAUUAUUUACUAUUGGGACUUUGUAUAAAUUAAUUUAAUAGGACUACUUUCCUCAUAGAUUAGCUGAGAUCAACAGCACUACUGGAACUGGAAAUGCAGAUUAAAGGAUCACUGAAGCAAGCACCGGUUACGUAUGGAAUACUUGGGAGUAAGUAGCUAACGUGGAAACCUGGUGAUACCAUGGUAGCACACUGUAGCAGGAAGACCAUGGGCUCCUGAACACUCCUGGAUUUUAAUCUGGUUCCACCACUUUUCCGGUGACCUUGGGCAAGUAACUUAACCUCUUCACAUCUCAAUUUGCUCUACUAUCAAAUAAGAUAAUAUCUCCCCACAAGGUUGUUAUGUAAGAUAGAAUAACACAAGUGCCUUGCAUAUAACAGACUCAAAAAAAAAAAAAACAAAAAAAAAAAGUCAGUUUACCUCUUUUCCAUGUUCAUUACUGAGGCAAGAACAAAAGGCACCAAGGAAGAGAAAGGAGUGGACUGUGUAGAAAAGAAGGAUGCCAAAGAGAAACUCCUGAAAAUUCCUCCUUGAAAACCGGGUUCAAUCAAGAGAAGGGACAGGGUCUUGCUGUACUGCCCAGCCUGGACUGCAAUGCCACAGUCAUGGUUUAUGGUAGCCUCGAACUGCUGGGCUCAAGUGAUCCUUCCACCACCAUCUUCCAAGUAGCUGGUACUAUAGGUAUAUGCUAAUUUUUUAGUUUUUUUGUAAAGACAGGGCCUUGUUAUAUUGCCCAGGCUAGUCUUGAACUCCUGACCUCAACCGAUCCUUCCACCUCAGCCUCCCAAAGUGCUAGGAUUACAAGCAUGAGCCAUUGCACUUGGCUUCUUCUUACUUUUUAAUGCAGUUAAAAAUUACAUACAUGUAUUACAUCUGUAGCCCACAUUAUAAUUCAAUUGAAGAGCGCUGAGACAUAAUAUUGACAUACUAUUUCCAUCAUAGAAACUCAGAACAUUUUUAUUAUUUAGAAACAUGCUAUUUUAUACAUACACUGUUAUCUAUACCUCCAAAGAUAGUAAGUACGUACUCAUAAGAAGCUAUAUGUACAAGUUUUCUUAUUAAUUUGCUUGCUACUUAGUCAUUUAUUUUAUCUCUUACUGCUUGCUAAGGGACAAGUGGUAGCAGUCUCUAAAGGUUUAAAAAUAAUUAUGUAAAAACACCAGUAUGCUCUGGCCUGUUAGUCUGACAAACAACGAACUGAUGUCUAAAAUAAAGAACACAUUGUAAGAUAUACCAUGUGUAGUAGACUUCUGUCAUUUUGUUGGCUCCAAGCAUAUCAAGCCCCUGCUUGUGUUUGAAGAAUUCCUAACUUCAUAAAUUUUGGUGCAAAACAGAGCCUAUUUUCCACUAUUAAAAAUGAAAAUGUAGAUGGUUUUCCACAUGCCCUGCUGGCAGCCUAUGCUUACCCAUAGAGAUGUGCCCACCAGCAAUUUUGAAUGUGGAGCCUAGUAACAAAGAGCAGAGACAAUAAAGAAUUCUUUCUGAUGACAGCAAUAGUGAAAGCAGUAUCUAGUUUCUGAAGGCAGCAGAACCAGUAGUGGACUGGAGUGACCAGCACACCCAGAAGUGCAAUCAGCAGCAUCCAGUCAUUAUUCAGCAGACACAGCCGUAAUGGUCGCGUUGGCAUGAGUUUUGCCAUGGUGCUAGUUGUUUAGCCUCCCCUUUGUUCAUGUACUUUUUCUAGGUUCAAGCCCUCUACCAACUCUGUAAACCACUCAAUAUCCUAUCAGUAAAGUUUAUUUCUGCUUAAA